UCGGAUAUGGUGUACGGUACAUGGCCUCUCUUGUUAUGUGUCUGAUGCAUAGCCAGAGGCAGAUCGGGGUUCGACUCCCCGUGUCCGAA